rnacentral:rRNA from 1 species
UGGGGAAUUUUCCGUAAUGGGCGAAAGCCUGACGGAGCAAUACCGCGUGAGGGAGGAAGGCUCUUGGGUCGUAAACCUCUUUUCUCAGGGAAGAACACAAUGACGGUACCUGAGGAAUAAGCAUCGGCUAACUCCGUGCCAGCAGCCGCGGUAAUACGGAGGAUGCAAGCGUUAUCCGGAAUGAUUGGGCGUAAAGCGUCCGCAGGUGGCUAUGUAAGUCUGCUGUUAAAGAGUCUAGCUCAACUAGAUAAGAACAGUGGAAACUACACGGCUAGAGUGCGUUCGGGGCAGAGGGAAUUCCUGGUGUAGCGGUGAAAUGCGUAGAGAUCAGGAAGAACACCGGUGGCGAAGGCGCUCUGCUAGGCCGCAACUGACACUGAGGGACGAAAGCUAGGGGAGCGAAUGGGAUUAGAUACCCCAGUAGUCCUAGCCGUAAACGAUGGAUACUAGGCGUGGCUUGUAUCGACCCGAGCCGUGCCGUAGCUAACGCGUUAAGU